AACAGUUGAGCAACAUAUUCUCCCAGUUCAAAAACCCAAAUAUCUUGUGACAUUACCACUGCUAUCUGAAUUUCUCCUUCACAAUCAAAAUCAACAACUCCUGGGACUACAGUAAUUCCCUGUGCCACUUGUGGCUGUCUGCCACAAGUACUAUUUGAGACCAUCACUACAACAGUUACUACUUGAGACCGUCAUUACAAGAGUUACUUCUGUUACUACUUGAGACCGUCAUUACAACAGUUACUGCUGUGACUACUUGAGACCGUCAUUAUGAAACUGAAUGAAGGGAUGAACAUAGAAAUGAAAACUUAAGACAAAAGAAACUGUUUUAAAGGAAGGGUCCAGGGGAAGGAAAAGAGAGUUCUCUGCUUCUAGUGAGCAAAGGCAGCCCCUGAAAUUCCACAGCCCUUUGGAUUUAUUGGGUAGCAAAAGCAGGGAGGAGGAGGUAACAAUUGGUCAGCUGCUUAAUUUAUAACAAGUUCAUAUUAUUACUAUAGGGCUUCAGAUGUACCUAAUCAGAAGAAACACUGCACUUGGGGCAUGACUGCCCUCUGCAUUCCUUCUGGGUGGCAGAUGCAGUCUGUCAGUUUGCCAACAUUCUGCAUUUAUGAGAAACAAUUUACUGUUUACUCAUAUAGCCUCCAGUGGUACACUGAGUUGAUCACAACCCUCACUUUUUCGGCCUCCAACAGAGAAGAAGUAUCUUCCACUCUCGGAGGAAUCCUGAACCUCAGGAUGACAUUGCCUCUUGUGUGUGGAUGUCUUUGGCCAAUAAGGGAUAACACUCAAGAGAUUACUGGGGAAGCAAUGAUUGUUAUUGCUAUAGUUUGACAGAUGAAAUUAAUGGCAUUUUUCUAUGUGGUGAUAGGUGUAUGUAAUGAUUCAUAACACAAAAAGAUAUCUACAAAAGAAUGUGCCAUAUCUGAGACCAUGUGAGAUUUUCUCUUUAGGUAUAAUACUUCUUGCCAGCUGGUUAAUCUGCUGAGAGUGAAGUGUGCAAUUUGUAGGCUCAUUCUCUGCUGAGAAUUAUUGAAGUACAAUACAGAUUCUUCUGGACUUACAAUGGCAUUACACAUGAAUAAUAUCUGUACAUAACCCCAUCAUAAAUCCAGGCAUGUACUGAAUGCGUAUCACUUUCACAUCAUCAUAAAAUAGAGAAAUCGUAAGUUGAACCAUCCUAAGUUGAACCAUUGUAAGUUGGGAACAGUCUGUACAUUAUCUCAUUUGAUUCUCACCACUUUGGGAGAGUAGGCAGAAAAAAGUUUACAUAGCAGACCUGAUUGCUCUCCUUAGAAAGGCUUUAUUACAAGGUUUACCUUUGGCUGGCAUCUAAAAACUUGAAUUUCAGGCAUGUCCUCACCAUUACCAGAAUUAAUAAGAAUGCCUCAAUGUGCCUCAACUAUUUGGACAAAUAAUAUGGUUUAUGUUGAAUAUCUUCUUAACCAUCUAGGUGUCUAGAAUUUGAGACAUGCCAGGUAUAGUCUGCCUCCCUCAUCAGUCCCUAAUAAAAACUGGGUGCUGAGAAUCUAAUGAGCUUUUCCGGUUGGCAACAUCUUAUACAUGUUGUCUCCAUUUGUUGCUGAGAGGAUUAAACAUGUUCUGUGUGACUCCACUGGGAAAGGACUCUUGGAAGCUUGCACCUGGCUUCUCCCAGACUUUGUUCAUGUGCUUUUUUUUUUCCUGAUUUUUCUUUGUAUUCUUUCACUGUAGUUAAAUCUUAGCUGUGAAUGUGACCAUAUGCUGAGUCCUGUGAGUCCCCCUAGCAAACUGUUGAACCUGAAGUUGGUCUUGAGGACACCAACGAAGAGCAAUUACUUUUAUUAUCCACAUUUUACAGAAAAGAAAACUGAAGUACAGAAAGGUUAGGGAGGUCCUAGUGUUUCCAUCAAGGCUUUUAUAAGGGUCAAAAAUGAUUCUGGGGAGACAUAGUGCAUAACACCUUAAUCUUCCACUGCUUUUGAGAUGUUUACAAAAUGUAGUUUCCAUAGAUAGUCAUGUUUGUCUGUCAAUGACAAUGUUCUUCCCAUUUCCUGCUGCAAAUAUAUAUUUAUAUAUAAAAUAUGUAAAUACAAAUUAUAUAUACAUAUUAUACACCCCCCUACACACACACACACACACACACACACACACACACACACACGUAAUGUACUGGCAACACGAGAACAAGUGAAAUAUGAGCCAAAUUUAGCCUGCUACCUGCUUUUGUACAACCUGAACGCCAAGAAAACUUUUAUAUUUUUAACUGGUUGAGAAAAAAGGCAACAUUGUGUGACACAUUAAAAUCAUGAGAAAUUAAAAUUUAAGAGAGUUCAUAUAUAAUGCUUUAUUGGAAAAUAUGCAUGCUCAUUAGUUUUUGUGUUUCUAUGGAUACUUUCAUGCUGCAAUGGCAGGUUUGAGUAGUUGAAACAGAGACCAUAUCACCUUCAAAGCCCUUUAUAGAAAAAGUUUGAAACCCCCUCCUCUAGACCUUUCAUGUUCAAGGCCUUCCUCUCCUAGCCAACCUUGUGCAACUUAUACUGUUUUUAUUUCCCACAUAUUAUUUUUCUAGCCCUGUGAUCCUGAAAAAAUUCCCUUAAUCUCCUAAAAUCUGGAGCCCAUGUUAUAUGUUUCUGGCCCUCUGAACUUGGAGAAAAUUUACUUCUUUUCUCUGGGCCUCAGUUCUCCUAUCUGAAAAAUGGGAAUAAUAUGUUACCCUAACAGUAUAUAAAUGGUACUUACUACUAGCAGUCAUUGUAGUUUCUAUAAUACCCAGUAUUUAUUUUUAUCUCCCAGUAUAGAGUUUAUUAUAGAUUGUCAAUAAACAUUUAAAAACAAAAACAAGUUUAUUAGCAUGGUACAAAAGAAAGUAAUCAGGAUUCUGGAAUCAGAAGACUUAUAUCCUAUCCCCAUACCUGUCACUCCUGGUUCAAAAAAUUCGGGCCAACUUCUUACCUUUUCUGUGUGCUAGCAUCCUUGUUGCAAAUAGGCCUGUGACAUUUGCCUGGGUUCCGUUUAAAGAGUACAUCAAAGAAUCAGGUGCAUAUUUUCACAGCUCCUUGGUCUGAAGUGGUACCCAGGAUCAAGAUGUCCCUCCCAUGAUUCUAAUCUCCAGCCCCCUUACACCAUAGUCGCUUCCAAACUCUGGAUUUCUUAGCAUUGCAGUUUGCUUCCAAAAAAAAAUUUAAAAAAAAAAAAACCUCAUCUGGUCAUUAGAAGUCAUUCUGAAGAGGCUGUCCUAUAUCUCAGUGCAAUUUCCUACUUAUCCACGCCAGACUAUACCCUGCUUUCAUCAGAUUGCAACUGACCUAAUUUGCAAAGACUUCAGUGAAAAGAGGCUCAUUAAAAGCCUUCAUAUCUUUAGCAGCCUCUCUUUCCUCCCUCAAAUGAUCUAGGUCAGAAUGGCCCAAUAAAAAUAGCUGGGAAAAUUACAAAGUCACUCAAGACUCUGCCAGGAGUAGAGACUUUAAGAAUUAGUGACAGACAUAUACUGUCUAGGAGCAGGAUGGGAGUGGGUUGCAUGGCUUAGGCACAUACAAAAUGCCUGACAAAGUAUAGCAAUGGCUAACUGCUAUUCCACCCUCAUCUCAUGAUAGGCUGGCCAUGUUUUUCUGUUUCAGAGAUGACAUUGCAGUGACUUAACGCUUUGCCUUUUAAGAUGCAAUGAUGGUUUAAAGGUGAUGGUAUCUGUUACCAAAGCGCUGGGUUGUUAGAGAGUUGAUCUUUAGCUUGGUCUCAAUUCCUCAAUUCUCAGCAGAUUUGUUAGCUGAGCAACAAAGGGCUUGACAUAGAUACAAAAUAAGCAACCAUAAGUAAUAAUAAUUCAUGAGUUUAAAGCAAAAAGGUUUUACUAUGGAUAUCAUCCAAUAUUUGAUCCCUUACCAGAACAUAUAAUCAUACAGAGUUAACAUCUAGAUUUUAAAAUCUUAAUUUAAAUAACUGUGUCACUUUUCUAGAAGCCAUCACUCCUAUAAUAUUAAUUAUCUAAAACAUCAUUAAUAAGUUGAAAGUAUAUGAAAUAGGAAGGCCUUUCAGUGAUUAAAACAGAUAUCAUAAAAUGUAUUUACUAAAGCUGAUAUACUUUACUUAAUUAAACAUUUCUCAAAGCCUCACUCAGAGACUAUUUACUUCUGUUUUAGGAAUGAUUAUAAUCAACUUAGCUAAAUCACUCUUCAGCUAAAGGAAAACAAACAGCAAAGUGUAAAGAGGUGUGUAUUAGUCUACUCUCUUACUGCUAUGAAGAACUACCUAAGACUGGGUAAUUUAUGAAGAAAAGAGAUUUAAUUGACUCACAGUUCCACAGGCUGUACAGGAAGCAUGGUUGGGGAGACCUCAGGAAACUUACAAUAAUGGCGGAAGGGCGAAGGGGAAGAAAGCAUCUUCUUCACAUGGCAGAGCAGCAGAAAGGGAGUAAAGGGCAAAGUGCUACACAAUUUGAAACAAACAGAUCUUGUGAGAACUCACUAUCAUGAGAACAGCAAGGGUGAAGUCUGCCCCCAUGAUUCAAUCACCUCUGACAAGGCCCCUUCCCCAACACGUGGGGAUUACAAUUUGAGAUGAGAUUUGGGUGAGGACGCAGAGACAAAUCAUAUCACCAAAUGUUUGUUGACAGAAGAAUGGGUAAACAAAAUGUGGUAUAUUCAUAUAAUACUAUAUUAUUCAGUCUUAAAAAAAUAAGAAAAUUCUGAUACACAAUACAGUAUAAAUGAAAGUUCCAGACCCAUGCAAAGUGAAAUAAGCCAGUCACAAAAAACAAAUAUUACAUGAUUCAAUUUAUAUGAGGUGCCUAGAGUAAUCAAAUUUAUAGAGCCAGAAAGUAGAGUGAUGGUUGCCAGAGGCUAGGAGAGGGAAGAAUGAGGAGGAGUUAGUGUUUGAUUGGUAUAGAGUUUUAGCUGAGGAAGAUGAAAAAAUUCUGGAGAUAGAGAGUGGUGAUGUUUGCAUAAUAAUGUGAAUGUACUUAAUGCCACAGAAUUGUAUGCCUAAAAAUCGUUUAAAAUGGUAAAUUUUAUGUUGUGUAUAUUUUACCACGAUAAAAAAACUAUAACAAUCAAAUACAAAAGCUUAAAAACAUAGAUGUAUAGUUUAGUGAAUAUAGUCAUAAACAGCUGUGUACAUACCAAAAGCUUCUUCAAAAUAUCUCUUUGUGAUAUACAGUUCAAUAUACUAAUAAUAAUUUUGCAUUAUAAAAUAGAUUAAAUUGUAUUGGUCCUUACUACUCUGCUGAGAGGGAGAGAGAGAGAGAGAGAGUAGGCAUAGACUUUAAAAACAUUUAUUUGAAAUCGUUGAAAUUAAUCAUAGUAUUACCUUAAAGGGGCAAAUUCUAUAUUUUAGAAAAGAACCCUAUAGGUUCAUUACAUACAAGUAUUUGCCAAUACUUGUCAAAACAACUAAUAUAUCACCUAGAAUACAGAAACUAAUUAUUAAAUGUUGGUUACAUUUGUUAUAUUUUUAAUGGAGAAAAUAAUCUAGAAGAAUUUAUUUCUUUCAUUUAAUUUUCUAUUAAAGCAUUGUCUCAAAGUUUGGGAAAAUGCAUUUGUUAUGAUUGUCAGUUGAUAUUAUAAUGAAACCAAACUAUUUUAGAGGGAUACGAGCCGAAGCUUUUCUGUUCUGAAUUCUGGUGAAAACCUUCCUUUCAAUAGGAAUAAAAAUAAUUUUUGCCCAAAUAUUAGCCAAGAAAAAUGCCCUGAAAGCAAUAUACUGGGAAAGGUUCUAAACUCUUGAUAAAAAAGCAAUCAAAAACAAAAUGCCAUCUCCCAGGGUCAAGGACCAAUGAGUCACCCAUUGAGAGGCUCUCUGAGCUCCAGGACACAGCAAUGUCCUUUUGAAUAUAACAUCAGGAUUUAAAGUUCCACUCGGGUACUUGUGCAGCUGAUGUAGCUGUACCACAGUUUUUUUUUUUCCAUUUAUAAUAUUUGCUUUUUUUCUCUUCUAAUAAAAAUUGGUAUGAUGACAUUUUGCAGCCAGGGGUUGGGUAUGGAGAAAAAACACAAUUCAGGGUUUAAGGCAUUAAGAAAACUUUUUUUUUUUUUAAUCUCACUCUUGUGGAAAUUCAGUACUGUUUAGUUUGUUCCUUUACUUGUUUAAGGAUUUAACAAAAUGUCUAGGUCCAUUGUUAAAAGUAUAGCAUAGUGGGCCAGGAGCAGUGGCUUAUACCUGUAAUCCUAGCACUUUGGGAGGCAAAGGCAGGUGGAUCACCUGAGGUCAGGAGUUCAAGACCAACCUGGCCAACAGGGUGAAACCCCAUCUCUACUAAAAAUACAAAAAUUAGCCAGGUGUGGUGGCGGGCACCUGUAGUCCCAGCUACUCGGGAGGCUGAGGCAGGAGAAUCGCUUGAACCCGGGAGGUGGAGGUUGCAGUGAGCCGAGAUCAUGCCACUGCAUUCCAGCCUGCAUGACAGAGCAAGACUCCGUCUCAAAAUAAAUAAAUAAACAAACAAAGUUAUAGCAUAGUGGAAAUAUAAGUUGAAGCAUUAAAGUAUACUAAUACUGACUGUUUCUAAAAGGGGUCAAAUUAGUAUGCACUUAAUGAGUUAGUCAGAAAAAUACCCACCAAAUUUAUAAUUGUCAAUGGAGAGAGUCCUGAAGAAAUAAUGAAGACCUAAUUUGUAAAAAAGAAAAAAAAAGAAAGAAAGGAAAAAAGCUCGGACAUGGAAAUCCAUCAGCUCUCUCUCUGUCUGCCUCAUCUAAUACUUCCUGAAUAUUUAGUCUCUCCAUUUGUAUAUCUGUAAAAUGGGAAUGAUAUUGACUAUACAGAGUUGUUAUAAGUAUUAGAGUUAAUACAUGUAAGUGACUGUCAGACAGCAGCCUUUAACAAAUGGUCACAAUUACUGUGAUCUCUUCCUAUGAACAUAAUGCUAUAAUACAUUAGCUAGAUCUCCCAGAACUGGACUUCUGCCUGCAUAAGAGCUACUCAGCGUACUGGAGAUGAGUCAGAUAAUACUUUUGGAAUCACACAUAUGGAGCAAAACCAACAAUUAUCUUUUCAUUACCUCUGAAACAACUUCCUUUAGGAUCCUAAGGUGCAGGGGGACCCUAAAACUCAGCAAGUACUCUCCAACAGCUUCUGAAAAAAGCCGGUCAAAAGCAGAGAUGCUAUUUGCUGAAAUUAUCCCUGUCAAGGUCUGAAAUGGAAGGUGCAAGUAAAUAACAAGUAUGAUAUGAUUCAAGUAACUGCCACCACACCUGAAAGAAAACUGUGAAAGGAACUGAGCUGUGUCUGGAACAAGGUCAAAAGAAGGGAGAGAAGCUUCUGGGGCACUGCUUUGCCCUCUAGGAUGAGACCCUUAGCCACAGCCUCCUUCCUUUCUCCCCCCUUUUGGCAUGGACAGCAGGGCAUAAGCCCUUGUGAAACAUGAAUAGGUCAGGACUUCUUCUGGAUAUUUGCGCCUACCAAAAAGUAAGACUGAAUUUUUCACUCUUUAAUUGGAUAUUCAGAGCCCAAGCCACGUGAAUAAGGACCUAAAUAACAGUGUUUACAGUGUAAGGACAUAUGAUGGGCUACCAGUUAUUAUGCCCAUUUUCUAAAUUUUGAUGUGAAAAUGAAAAGUGAAGUCCUUCAAGAUAACUUUUUUUUUUUUUAACCUGGAACUCAGAUAUGUCAAUAAAAAAAGAUACGCUUCUUCGGGCCUUAGGUGAAUUCUUUCAAUGGGUCUUUUUCUCUGCAGUUGUUUACAAUCUCCUUCCUAACUUUAGAAUGGAAAUGCCUAAUCUAGCUUGUUUAUCUCCAUUUCCAGCUCCCAGCAUAGCCUGGAACAUAUUCACUGUUUAGUGUGUAAUUUCUGAAUGAAUGAGUCCUGAAUCCAAGUUGUAUUAUGGUGCUACUGAUCCUAUCCAUGAAGAGAAAUUGUCUUUGUAGGUUAUCUCUGGGCCACGUGACUCAACGUACUUACAAGUCUAGGAAGAUGGUUUCAAUAUAAAGAAUUUGAAAGCCUCCCAUAUAUUAUUCCAUUAACCCUUACCAGCAGGAUGCUUAAGAGCACAAAGUAUAAUACAUUAAUGGGUAUCACACUAAAGAAGCAGAGACCUAAGAAAGUAAUGUGAUUUGGCCAUCUUUAAUCAGUGAAACCAUGAAUGAAAUAACAAGAGGAACAAACAAACUUAUCGGCCAUGUAGCUGGAAGCAAAGUUAAAGAGGAUGCCCUUUCUUGCUGUUAGAGCCUCAGAAAAUUAGGAACACUGCAGAAAACUACAGGGCAAAAGGUGCUUAUGUCAAAAAACAAUUUUAAAAAUCUGACUAGGCCAUUUCUUUUCUUGUUUUCUUUAAUUUUGGUUUAAAAAUACCUCACAUGUACCAUCUUCACAAUUUUUAAGUGUACCAUUCAGUAGUGUUAAUAAUAUCACAUUGUGUAUGAGCAAUCACCAGAACUUUUUCAUCUUGUAAAACUGAAACCGUACACAUUAAACAACUCCCAUUUCCCAUCCACCCCAGCACUGGCAACGGCCAUUCUAGUUUCUGUGUCUUCAAAUGUAACUAUUUGAGGUGUCUUAUAUAAGUGGAAUCAUACAGUAUUUGUUUUUUGUGGCUGGUUUAUUUCACUUAGCAUAAUAUUCUCAAGGUUCAUUCAUUGGACAAGUUCAUUUUAAGAUCAGUUUCUACCUACAUCAUUUGAAGCUUUAAGGAUGUCAAUUAAAGUGAACCUGACAUGAUCUUAAUCUCAUCAGAACAAAAUACAAAUCCCAAAUACUUAGGAUUAAAGGAGAACUUGCAAAGCAAGCACAAAGUUUACAGUAGAUUACCAAAAUUAAAAAUAAUCCCAGUUACUUGAGAGAUCAGGUGAAACAGACAAUGAGUGAGUUUUGCACUACCUAUGAGAUUAAGCAGGAAAGAACACUGGCCCGGAUGCCAAAUGACCUAAGUUCAAGUUCUGGUUCUCCAAUUAACCAGAAGGAUGAGAUUUAGCAAGUUGUUGAAUGUUUCUGAGCCUUGAGACCCCAUCUUAAAAGGUUGUCACUGUAAAAAUAAGAUAAAAUAUAUGCUAUAUCUUCGUAAUACAUAAAGUGCUUUAUAAGUGAAAUAAAAAUUAUUUUUGAAGUAAUUUUUAAAUAUAAUUGCUUAAGCUUAAUGAGUACAGAAUUUCAGUUUUGCAAGAUGAAAAAUGUUCUGUGGAUGAAUGACAGUGAUGGCCGUGCAACAAUGUGAAUGUACAUAAUGCCACUGACCUACACACUUAAAAAUGAUUAAAAUGGUAAAUUUUACAUUAUGUAUAUUUACAACUAUUAAAAAAUAAAUGUUUAAAAAAUAUGACAAUAUUUCAAUCUUAAAAGGUAAUAGCUGAAUCAGAUGAAAUAUUUUAGAAGUAGCAAUUCACAUUCUUUUUCUAUUCAGAUUUUGAAUUGCCAUUUUUGGUCCUCCCCUAUCCAAAAUACUGUCAACACCACUAACACACACAAAAUUAAAUGGCCUAAUUUUACUGAUCUUGGUAUUCUCAUACAUAUUUUUAAAGGCUCCAAAUGCAUUAAUGUAUAAUUCCUCUCAUUUUGAGGAGGCAGUUAUUGAUCUCACCAUCUAAUAUGUAAGAAAAUAGAAGCAAAAAGGUGUUAAGUGACUUGCUCCACUUUAGGAAUCAAGACUGCCAGUUAUGACCCCAAAAAUGUAAUACCCAUUUUAAUAUGAACAUUAGGGGUAUAGGGGGCUGCAGCUAUAUGUGUGAUUUUCAAAACUUAAGCAGAUUGACUUGGUUAAGUAAAUUCUUGUACUCGUAAAGUCUGUGACUUAAGAUCCUGGAACAUGCACACACACACACACACACACCCACUAACUGUAUUCUAAAAUAUUUUUGAACAUAUUCAUUGAACAAUUUGGACCAAAAUAGGUGAGCCAUGUUUAAGUUACUGUAUGCAUUAGUCACACACCUUUAGUUUUGAGCAACUUUUUGCAAAGUGUUUAUCCUUGCAUUUCUAGGCUUUGAAGUCCAGCAGCUUUUUCUUUUUCCAAAUCGUUUAUUUGAUCAACAUUUAGUAGGCAAAUACUGUUGCCAAAUAUUACUGUAUGCCCUAUUAAAUUGCUUAAAUGGCCCUUAGAUGAAUUGUUCAUUAAUAUAAAAUAUCUAAAUGGUAAGCUUGCUUUUGGGAGAAACAUAUUGCUCAUAAAAUUUUAAGAACUCUGUCCUGAGGGUCAUUUUAGCACCUUGACUUCAGAAACUGCCCAGGUAAUCCCAACCUGUGUAUAGGUAACGGACUGAUCAUAGCCUGCAGUCUGCACAUCUUCUAUUGCAGAAGUCUCUAUAAUUACAUUGACAUACGAGAAAAAUAAAUUCCAUCUACUGUCAUGUUAAAAUAUUGUUCUUAAUCCAAUAGUCCUGGAAAUAACAUUCAGGUCCUAAAUUGAGAUUUGUUCCUGCUGUAUUCAAUUUUCAGUUUCAUGUCCCACCUGCUAAGAAACUGCUAAAUCCUUGUAGGCAAUUAAAUAAUAAAUAAAUAAAACUUUAUAAGAAAUGGAAGUGAAGACCAGAACCAUGUUAUUGAUAGAGGAUAGUAAGGUAUAAACAAGGAUAGGUGAGAUUUGAUUUAUUCAGUUGGUCAAUAAUUUGCUAGAUUAACUCAUAACUCAUUCAUUGAGAACUUAGUAGGUGUUAAGCGCUGUACUAAAUGUUUCACACCAAUUAUUUCAUUUAAUUCACACAUAAUCUUAUGAAGAUGGAUACUAUUCUACUUUCAUUUUUAGGUAAGAAAAAAGACAUUCAAAGAGGCCAAGUAACACACCCAAAAUCACACAGUAUCUUAGAGUGAAAAAAUGUCUUAAAGGUCAUUGAGCUCAAAUCCUGUGUCAAUGCAGAUGUUUGGAAGAUAGCCAUGAGCCUCUCUUUAUACACUUCUACUAAAGAGGAUGAGUUUACUACUUAAAAAAUCACACCGAUGAAAGUUUCUUUCCUUAAUUUCAGUUUGCCAAAACCUUCAUCCUUCUAAAUUGUAUUCUUUGGUUGCUUUAAUUUAGAACUCCAGAGACCCCCUCCUUCAUGUAUUUGAAGAAAGAAGGCUAUAUUCCAUUUGCUGUGGCUUCCAGAACCUUCAGUUAUGACCUGAUCAACAGAGCAGAAGCCUCUGUGCAAGGGCAGAGUCUUCCUAUGCUUAUUUCAUCAUUUGAUAAGCAACAAAUAUUAAUUGGACAUUGACUAUAGGCCAGGGCACCAGGAAAGAUCCAGACAAGGUCCUGACCUUGAAGAGUUUAUAUUCUACUCAUUUGAGAAAUAAAAAUAUAUAAACAAAUAAAGUAGUUAUUCACAAGCACUAGAUAAUGUUUAAGCACUAUGAAUAAGACAAAGUAAUUGUUAGAAAAAUGAUAAAAAUGGAGUAGACUGAAUUAGCUAGCAUGAUCAGGGAAUGUCUCCUGAGGAAGUGUCACACUGGAGACUAGAGGAGGAAAAGAAGGAAGCCUGGUGAUGAUCUGGAGGAAGAUGCCAACGAAAUUUCUAAGACAAGAAGCCUGGAGGGUAUGAGGGCCAGAAAGUAUGGAUAGGAUUAGUGAGAAAGGAAAAGGUGAAAGGAGUUGAGGUCAGAAAAAUAGACAGGAACCAGUAAGUUUAGUAAGUUACAAUGGAGGGUUUUAUUUUUUACUUAUUUAGUGUUGAGACAGGGUCUUGCUCUGAUGCCCAGGCUGAAGUGCAGUGGUGUGAUCAGAGCUCACUGGAACCUCGAACUGGACUCAAGCAAUCAUCCUGCCUCAGCCUCCUAAGUAGCUGGGACUGCAGGUGUGGAGGGUUUUAUAUAAGCAAAUUAUGUACCUAACUUACACUUCUGAAAGAUACUCUGUAUUAAGGGUCAAAAAUGAGGGCAGGAAAACUGGUUUGAAGAACAGUGGAAAUAUUCAUGUGGGAGAUGGCAGUGGCCAGAUUAGGAUUAUAAUAGUGGCAGUAGUGAAAGAUGGAAGGAUUGUAGAUAUAUUUUAGAGAAAUAUUCCACAGAAUUUAUUCCUUGAGUGGUUUUAGGAUUUAAGUAAAAAAUAAAAAUGAAGAAUCACUCCUAGGUUUUGGGGCUUGGGAAACUAAUAGGUAAUGAUACAAAGUACUUAGAUGGCAAAAGCUUGAGGAGGAACACAUUUGGCAAUGGAUGUUGAUAUUAAUAGCACUAUUUGGGUCAUGUUAAGUUUAAGAUUUCUAUAGGAAAUUCAAAUGCAUAUGAUGGGAAGAUAGUGGGAUAUAUGAGGAUAGAGUCCAGCAAAGAGGUCUGAGCUAAUGAUUUAAACUUGGCAGUCACUAGCAUAUUGAUGUUAUUUCAAGUGAUUGGAUUAGAUAUUUUCACCUAAGGUAAAUAUAUAACAAUAGAAAAAAGGAGGCAAGGUCUGAGCCCAAGGUAAUCUAAGAUUUCUUUAGAUGGCAAUAAAAGAGGCUACAGCUCACAAAGAUAAUCUUACGGAAGCAUGUAGUGAAGGAAGUGAAGGAAGAAAAACAAGGUAAGUGUGGUUAGGAGUAAUGUCAGCAAGAUGGCAGAAUAGGACGCUCCAGCCUCUCCUUUCUCUCAUGGAGACACUGAUUCAACAAUACAUGGAUCAAUUUCCUCUAUGAUACAUCCUGCACUCCAGGUGAGCAAGAAAUGUGCCACAUCAAAUCUAGAAGGAAGAUUUUUGGCAUCCUCUCACCAGAGUCCCUCCUUCCAGCAGAGUCAUGCAAUUGGGAAGAAACUUUGAGCUCCCAGAUUCUCCCUAGGGAGAGAAAGAGGAGACUAGAUUGCAUGUCCAACAUUCUGACUUUUGGAGAAGGCUGCCUAAGGGACUGGCUUUUGUCUCACCUGUAAAAGAGAGCUAAUGAGACCCAGAGUAUUCUAAGUGUCUGGUGGUCACUGAAAACAAAAUUGCUAGGCAACUUGCUGCCCCUCCAGAGGGCCUGAGGUAAGCUGACAGAAGCCGACACAGUUCAGCAGCCUCUCCCUCAGGAAGGAAAGGGAAAAGUAAAGUAUGCAUCCAAUGUUCCUGCUUUUUGAUGGGAUACCCAAGGGGUUACUUUCUGAAUAUCCUGGAUUUGGGGACUGAUAGGACCUGGCAUAUUCUAGAUGCCUGGGAAGCUCUGAGAAUAUAAAAUAGCAGGUGGUGUGCUGCUUCUUCAGAGGACUCACAGUACAGCAGUCAGGCAUCAGAGGGAGUCAGAGAUUAAAAACUCCUGAAAAAAUCUAAUAAAUCUUUCUAAUUAGAAAUCUAUAUGCACAGGCCUAGAGAAGACAUAUCACAGAAAAGUUUUGAGAGUCUUCCAGAAUCCCUAGUUGGGCUGAUUGAUGAAUGCCUUUCCCUUUACAAAUCCAGUUUGUAAAGAUUAUGAGAGAUGGAUUUUUUUCAAGUGCAUAAAUACCAACACAAAUGUACAAGAAAUAUGAAUAAAUGGGAAAAUAAUCAAAUCAAAGGAAUAAAAUAAAUUUCUAGAAACCAACCUCAAAGAAACAGAGAUAUGUGAAUUACCUGACAAAGAAUUAAAAAUAACCAUCAUACAGAUGUUCAUUAGUUCAGGACAACAAUAUAUAAAAAAAAACUUCAUCAAACAUAGAAAAUAUUUUAAAAUAACAGAAAUUUUAGAGCUGAAGAAUGUAAUAACUGAACUGAAAAAAUCCACUGGAGAUAUUCAACAGCAGACUUGAUCAAGCAGAAAAAUAUUGCUAAGUUGAGGAUAGAUCAUUCGAAAUUAUCCAGUCAGAGGAACAAAAAGAAAAAAGAAUAAAACAGAGAGAAGAAAUCCUUAAGGAUUUACGGAAAAUAAUUAAGCAGACCAAUAUACACAUUAUGAAAUUUAAAAGAGGAGAAAUGAGAAACAAAGGGGAAAGAAAGCUUGUUUAAAGAAAUAAUGGCCAAAACUUCCCAAAUAUGAGGAAGGAAAUAGGCUUUCAGAUUCAAGAAGCCCAAAUCUGAGGAACUCAAAUAAGUCAAUACCAAGACAAAUUAUAAUAAAAUUGCCAAAAUCAAAGACAAAGAAAGCAUUUUUAAAAUAACAAGAGAAAAGUGACUAGUCACAUACAAGGAAAAUUGCAGACUAUAAGUAGAUUUCUCAGCAGAAAACUUGUGAGACAGACAGAAGUAGAAUAAUAACAACCAAACAAGAGCACAAUAUCUGACAAAACUGUCUUUUAAACAUAAAGGAAAGGUAAAGCUUUCCCAGACCAAAAAAAAAAAAAAAAAAAAAAAAAAGCCUAGAAAGUUUAUCACCAUUAGAUCUACCUUACAAGAAAUGCUAAAGGGAUUCCAUUAAGUUGAAAUGAAAACAUGUUAAAUAAUAAUGUAAAAGCAU